GGAUAGAAGACCAAAAGGAGAGGAUAUCUGUCACCAGUUAAAGUGAACAUAUCAAGGAUAAACUCGGAAAAGGGAGAAAAACAAGAUUUACAACUACCGGUUACUGGGUAGAAGACCACAAAGGGAAGGAAACCCGUCAUCGAUUAAGAUCAUCAUAUCAAGGAUUAACCCUCUGGGAAACAAAAUUAGGGAUUGCAACUACCUUUUUA
rnacentral:lncRNA from 1 species